rnacentral:rRNA from 1 species
CCUACGGGAGGCAGCAGUGGGGGAUAUUGCACAAUGGGGGAAACCCUGAUGCAGCGACGCCGCGUGUGGGAAGACGGUCCUCUGGAUUGUAAACCACUGUCCCCAGGGACGAAGAUGACGGUACCUGGGGAGGAAGCGCCGGCUAACUACGUGCCAGCAGCCGCGGUAAGACGGAGGGAGCGAGCGUUGUCCGGAAUUACUGGGUGUAAAGGGAGCGUAGGCGGGACUGCAAGUUGGGUGUCAAAUCUACCGGCUCAACCGGUAGCCGCACUCCAAACUGCAGUUCUUGAGUGAAGUAGAGGCAGGCGGAAUUCCUCGUGUAGCGGUGACAUGCGUAGAUAUUAGGAGGAACCCCAGUGGCGAAGGCGGCCUGCUGUGCUUUUACUGACGCUGAGGCUCGAAAGUGUGGGGAGCAAACAGGAUUAGAUACCCCAGUAGUC